GAAAAUUCCGCCAAGUCAACAACAAAGAAAGGGUUUUGGGAUGUAGUCAGUUGUAUACGUUAUGUGGGCCGGUGACUGCAAGAAGCAAGGAAUGUGGAGCUAAUGCAUGCUGCUAAGGAUGGAAAGUUCUUGUGUUUAUUGGUUGUUCCUGAGACACCAGUCACAGUUGUACCUUAUUUCCAUUUUAGAAGCAAGGAAUGUGGAGCUAAUGCAUGCUGCUAAGGAUGGAAAGGUCUUGUGUAUAUUUGUUGUGCCUGAGACACCAAUCACAGUUGUACUUUAUUUCCAUUUUAGGGAGUCUAUAUACACUUGAGAGGUGAGCGUCAGAUUUAAUUUUGAAGAUGGGUGACUUUCAAAUGUUGUGAUGAAGAUUGUUGAAAGAGAUUAUCAACAUAGAACCAAUCCAUUUGAAUGUGCAAGUCAGGACUUGUACAACACCUGAGUACCCAGAUGACUGUUGAACUAAUUGGUGAACAAGAAAAGAUGUCAGAGAGGGGAAUCCAAAACAGAUGUCAUGAUCAAGAAAAUGUACUGUUAUCAAUGAUAUGAUCAAAAAUUUGUAAACUUGUAGCGAUUUAGAAUAUCUUAUCUGUAAUAUAACUCUUCAAUACUUAAUUGUUCACACAUUAUCAUCUUAUCUGUAUAA